rnacentral:rRNA from 1 species
AGUGAGCGCUGGCGGUAGGCCUAACACAUGCGAGUCGAACGGCAGCACAGUAAGAGCUUGCUCUUACGGGUGGCGAGUGGCGGACGGGUGAGGAAUACAUCGGAAUCUACUUUUUCGUGGGGGAUAACGUAGGGAAACUUACGCUAAUACCGCAUACGACCUACGGGUGAAAGCAGGGGAUCUUCGGACCUUGCGCGAUUGAAUGAGCCGAUGUCGGAUUAGCUAGUUGGCGGGGUAAAGGCCCACCAAGGCGACGAUCCGUAGCUGGUCUGAGAGGAUGAUCAGCCACACUGGAACUGAGACACGGUCCAGACUCCUACGGGAGGCAGCAGUGGGGAAUAUUGGACAAUGGGCGCAAGCCUGAUCCAGCCAUACCGCGUGGGUGAAGAAGGCCUUCGGGUUGUAAAGCCCUUUUGUUGGGAAAGAAAAGCAGCAGGUUAAUACCCCGCUGUUCUGACGGUACCCAAAGAAUAAGCACCGGCUAACUUCGU